UUUUAAUAUUAUUUUUAUUUUGAGAUUUAAAAAAGUUGAAUUAAGAUUUGAAAAAGUUGAAUUAUUUAUUAUAUUUUGUAUUGAAAUUUAAAAAAAUUGUAAUUAUGAGUUGAGAUGAGUUGAUAUGAUUUUAAUUACCAAACGAAACCUUAUU